CAGCACCUCCGUUACAGCUGCAACUUUUCAAAUCCCCCCCCCCCCAGACUCCUUAACUUCCAGUGAUUCCAGCCUAGGGCUCAUCAAGGCUUUAUGCUGAAGAAAGCUGGGGCAGGGGAAGAGAAAGUUGUCUUUAGGAAAGACGGAGGGGGGGAUCUUAAUUUUGCAAGUUUUACACUCCCUGAAAGCGCCAAGUCUCCUUAGCGUCAAGGUGACACUUCCUCAGACUCCAACCAAAGAAUGUUAAACUAUCUGCAUGUUCCUUUCCCGGCAUAUCCUUUUUGACGAGGUCGGAAAAUGCCCAGAAUCCGGCAAAAGAACAUGCUCUUUGGAAGAGAAUAAAGCAGACGUUGGGGAGGAAAAGCAAAUAUCCCAAGCCCCAGCAGAGCUAAAUUUCGGACGAAAGCUUCCCCCCCACACACACACCCCGCAAAAAAGCUGCCCCUUUCUUGAGAAGCCUCUGCACCACCCGGUCACACCUGCCCAGGCCUCUCCAAACUCCGACGCUUGCCUUGCACUAGGCGGCUUCUGGUGGCCGAAAAUCUGCGGCGACUUUUCGGAAAUGGGUAGCGGGGAGUCCAGCCCCCGCAGCCGGGUCCCGCGCGGCCCCAAAGGACGGGGGACCCUCUUUCUCCUCCCGGGACGCUGCUGGUGUUUCUUUGAGCCCCUGGGGAGAAAGGUCAGCGGCUGCAGGCAUCCGGGUGGGUGUGGUAGACAAAAGACGAGGGAACAGGGGUGACCGAGGGGCUGGAUGAGCUGGAGGAACCAGCCGGAGGAACCAGCCGAAGGGGCCGCGCUGGGGCGCUGGUGCGCACAGGGGCUGGGGUGGCGCCUGCCAAGGCGGCCCCGCGACCAGGGCACCCACCGCCCUGAGCGUGGCUCGGCUGCCUCCACUUUCCAGCUGCUUUUGACUAGAGCCCUCCGCGAACCAAGGACCCUCAAAGCCGCGGCACCGGCGCACCUCCCCUCGCCGCACCCCAAACAAGCAGGGGAGGGUGUGGGGCGCCACCCCGUUCCUACUUACCCGCUGCCCAUCCCGGCCUCCUCACUGUACUCACCGAAAACUCGUGGAGCCUGGGAAGAGACUGCACCUCAUCCUCAAGAGGCCGCCGGGGAGAACGAGUCACCCCAGCCACCGAGGUGCGAAGGCAAGAGGAGGCAGAGGCUCCCUCCCCGGCGGGAUCUUUGGUCUGGAACCAACACCCUCACCCACCUCCAGUGCAGGGAGGGCCGCGGGAGGCACUGAGAUCUCAACACUGCCCUGGAUCAAGGGUUGGGCUCAUAGCUCCUCUUCAAUGAAGGAAUCACUAUUGAGUGUGCCUGAGACCCCACACGUGGUGCCUUUUAACCCUCAUUGCCAAGAUAUUUAUUACCCGCGUGUAUCAAGUGAUAACACCUGCUGGGGGAGAGGGUCGUUCAAUUCGAUUUACUCAGAAGUCCUACAGCUAGUGCGAGGCAGUGUUGGAAUUUGCAGGUCUAAUUUCAAAACUUAUAUUUAAUGCCUAAUAGUCCCAUUAAGAUUGGAUGGAACUUCUGAUGGAAAUGUAAACUAGUACAACCACUAAGGAGAACAACGGUAUGGAUGUCCCUUGAAAAACUAAAAGUGGAGUCACCAUUUGAUGCAGCAACCCCACACCUGGGCGCAUAUCUGAAGAAAACUCCGAUUCGAAAAGAUAAUGCACCCCAGUGUUCAUAGCAGCACCAUCUGCAAUAACCAAGACCUGGAAAUAAAGUAAAUGGCCACUGACA
rnacentral:lncRNA from 9 species